rnacentral:rRNA from 1 species
UACGGGGGGGGCAAGCGUUGUUCGGAAUUACUGGGCGUAAAGGGUGCGUAGGUGGCGAGGUAAGUCGGAUGUGAAAGCUCGGAGCUCAACUCCGAAAUGGCAUUGGAAACUACCUUGCUCGAGGGUUGGAGGGGGGACUGGAAUACUUGGUGUAGCAGUGAAAUGCGUAGAUAUCAAGUGGAACACCAGUGGCGAAGGCGAGUCCCUGGACAACUCCUGACACUGAGGCACGAAAGCUAGGGGAGCAAACAGG